rnacentral:rRNA from 1 species
UACGGAGGGUGCAAGCGUUAUCCGGAUUCACUGGGUUUAAAGGGUGCGUAGGUGGACAAGUAAGUCAGUGGUGAAAUCUCUGGGCUUAACCCGGAAACUGCCAUUGAUACUAUUUGUCUUGAAUAUCGUGGAGGUGAGCGGAAUAUGUCAUGUAGCGGUGAAAUGCUUAGAUAUGACAUAGAACACCGAUUGCGAAGGCAGCUUGCUACACGAAUAUUGACACUGAGGCACGAAAGCGUGGGGAUCAAACAGG